CCUACGGGUGGCUGCAGUGGGGAAUUUUGGACAAUGGGGGCAACCCUGAUCCAGCCAUUCCGCGUGAGUGAAGAAGGCCUUCGGGUUGUAAAGCUCUUUUGUCCGGAGCGAAACGGGCGGCCCUAAUACGGUCGUCUACUGACGGUACCGGAAGAAUAAGCACCGGCUAACUACGUGCCAGCAGCCGCGGUAAUACGUAGGGUGCGAGGGUUAAUCAGACUUGCUGGGGGUAAAGUGUAAGCCAGCUGUGAAAUCCCCGGGCUCAACCUGGGAAUGGCAUUUGGGACUGCAAGGCUGGAGUGUGGCAGAGGGGACUAGAAUUCCUGGUGUAGCAGUGAAAUGCGUAGAUAUCAGGAGGAAUACCGAUGGCGAAGGCAGGUCCCUGGGUUAACACUGACGCUCAUGCACGAAAGCGUGGGGAGCAAACAGGAUUAGAUACCCGUGUAGUC
rnacentral:rRNA from 1 species